rnacentral:rRNA from 5 species
AGACCCGAAACCCGGUGAUCUAGCCAUGGGCAGGUUGAAGGUUGGGUAACACUAACUGGAGGACCGAACCGACUAAUGUUGAAAAAUUAGCGGAUGACCUGUGGCUGGGGGUGAAAGGCCAAUCAAACCGGGAGAUAGCUGGUUCUCCCCGAAAGCUAUUUAGGUAGCGCCUCGUGAAUUCAUCUCCGGGGGUAGAGCACUGUUUCGGCUAGGGGGCCAUCCCGGCUUACCAACCCGAUGCAAACUGCGAAUACCGGAGAAUGUUAUCACGGGAGACACACGGCGGGUGCUAACGUCCGUCGUGAAGAGGGAAACAACCCAGACCGCCAGCUAAGGUCCCAAAGUCAUGGUUAAGUGGGAAACGAUGUGGGAAGGCCCAGACAGCCAGGAUGUUGGCUUAGAAGCAGCCAUCAUUUAAAGAAAGCGUAAUAGCUCACUGGUCGAGUCGGCCUGCGCGGAAGAUGUAACGGGGCUAAACCAUGCACCGAAGCUGCGGCAGCGAACGUAUCACCCAAGACAACUUUACGGAGUUGACGAUUGACGGAGCGAAGCGACGUCAAAGCGUUCAUUAAAGUCGAGUUGGCUUAGGGAUACGUUCGUUGGGUAGGGGAGCGUUCUGUAAGCCUGUGAAGGUGUGUCGUGAGGCAUGCUGGAGGUAUCAGAAGUGCGAAUGCUGACAUAAGUAACGAUAAAGCGGGUGAAAAGCCCGCUCGCCGGAAGACCAAGGGUUCCUGUCCAACGUUAAUCGGGGCAGGGUGAGUCGACCCCUAAGGCGAGGCCGAAAGGCGUAGUCGAUGGGAAACGGGUUAAUAUUCCCGUACUUGGUGUUACUGCGAAGGGGGGACGGAGAAGGCUAUGUUGGCCGGGCGACGGUUGUCCCGGUUUAAGCGUGUAGGUGUGUGUUCCAGGUAAAUCCGGUUCACUUUAACACUGAGGCGUGACGACGAGGCACUACGGUGCUGAAGCAACAAAUGC